GACGGAGGAUGCAAGCGUUAUCCGGAAUGAUUGGGCGUAAAGCGUCUGCAGGUGGCAGUUCAAGUCUGCUGUCAAAGACCGGGGCUUAACUUCGGAAAGGCAGUGGAAACUGAACAGCUAGAGUAUGGUAGGGGCAGAGGGAAUUCCUGGUGUAGCGGUGAAAUGCGUAGAGAUCAGGAAGAACAUCGGUGGCGAAGGCGGGUCUCUGGGCCGUAACUGACGCUGAGGAGCGAAAGCGUGGGGAGCGAACAGG
rnacentral:rRNA from 1 species